CCACCCAAGCGCCACAAUAUUUAUUUUUUUAAAGAGCAUAAAUUUCGACUCCUAGAGUUUAGGGCUGUGACUUAGUUCUGCCACUGCCAGAAUUAAUAAGUAAUUCAUCAACUCUUCCUGAGCCUCUGCUUCCCAGAUAAAAUUGUGAUUGUCACAUAAACCCCCUGCCCUGUCACCACCACAUAUGUUGAAUAGUGGAAGAACGCUGUUAGCUGGUAAGGGCCGGCAAGACACCAUGUAGAUCUAACAUCUUGCUGUUUUCACAGUGAAGUAAGUGGAAUGAACAGGGCUCUCAUUUGAGGGCGAAGGAAACACAGAAGCCAGAACCAGAGAUAACUUCUAGCUCCUCACCUGGAACCACUGUUACACUUCACUUCAUCACCUGGGACACAACAGACCGAAGCCACCUUCCUGAACAUUCGCUUACCCUCGGAGAGACUUCUGAUUAUGACCAUAAAGGUGGUGAAGAAAAAAAAAAAAUGGACCAAUACCAAACUGGGAAAUCCUUACAGCAACUCCGAUGGUAACACUGACACCAGACAACUAACCACAUUGGAAACCGAGAUGAGGCUGUGAGGAGGCUUUUGCAAGAGUUGAUGAUGGAGGCCUGAACCAGAGUGCUGGUGGUGAAGAUAAUAAGAAGCGAUCAUGUUUUUGGGUCUGUAUUUUCAAG